rnacentral:lncRNA from 10 species
UCUCACGAGAUCUGGUUGCUUAAAAGUGUGUGGCACUUCCUUUUUCGUGCACUCUCUCCCAUGCUCUGCCAUGAUAAGACGUGCUUGCUUCCCGUUCACCUUCCGCCAUGAUUGUAAGUUUCCUGAGGCCUUCCAGCCAUGCUUCCUGUGCAGCCUGUGGAACUAAGAGGAGAAAAAUCUCAACAGAGAGGCUUUGACAGGUUGCAUCUCCCCAGAAGACACCGAAACAAGGAUUUCAGUGCAAGUUGUUUCAUGGGAGACUUCAAGAAGCAUCAGGGUCGAUCCCAGCACUUUGGGAGGCCAAGGACAUCUUUCAAUGGCUCCUGGCCAACUGGCAGCAGAAUUUUACCUUCCUGUGCAUGAAUGACCUUGGAUAUUAUUCUUGGUGGCAUGACUGGACACCUGCAGCCUCUUGAUGUUUCCAGUCAAAAAGGUAUUUAAGAGCCAUUUGUCAGGCGGACCACUUGAGCCCACGAGUUUGAGGCCAGCCUGGGCAGCAUAGUGGCACGCUGUUUCUAAAAAACAAAACAAAACAAAAACAAAACAAACAAACAAACAAACAAAAAACGAAAGAAAGGAAGAAAGAAAGAGAAAAGAGCAGUAAUAUCUUCAUCACUGGUCAUUGGUCAUUGUCUUUAAAACAACUUUCCAUCGAUAUCUUCUGGGGAGAACAAGAGAGCACUAGUGUCAAAACUUCAACCAGCUUGGAAGAAAAUUCUGGAGAUAAGAGAGCAAUAAUUUUUUAGGUUGAAUCACAUAAGUUUGCCAUCUUUUGGUCAAAAACAGUCUAAUGAGCAAUUUCACUUGGUUCCACUUACAAGAAAAGUUCCAUCUCUAACACUCUUGAUGGGACUGUGUGCAGAAAUAAGGGCAUUGACAAGUCGGAAUUAAAACAUAAUCUAGAAGGGUUGCAUUCUGAAUAUAAAAAGUUUUAGGAAUAUUUAAACCAGUUUGUUUUACUUAUAUUUUCCUUCUUUAUACAUAUGACAAGAGUAAUAUUUUUUAAAAAAUUAUUUAAAGGCCUAUUCAUAGCUUGAAAAAAAAUUCUUGCAGUAAAAGCAUUUGCAAAAAUAUGAAAUAAAAUUUGACAUGACAAGGAAGCAUUAUAUCAUUAAUUGGCAGCUUUUCUUCCUUAGUGACGUAAAAUAAUGACAUCAUAACAAUCAAGGAGUGUCUCAGAUUUUGUGAAAUAUGAUUUAUCCCGCCAUGGACCUCAGAGGCAGAGAGUGAGGUUGAUCAUAAUUCUUGGUUUCAGGUCAUAUUUUCACCAAUGGUUUGUGCUAGACCUAUCUCUGAUUUUGUCAUUGAAUAUUGGGUGAUAAUUAUCUCAGUCAUAUAGAUAAUAGAAGUGAGAAAUGGGGAUAAGAGGGAAAAUU